rnacentral:rRNA from 1 species
UACAGAGGUCCCAAGCGUUGUUCGGAUUCAUUGGGCGUAAAGGGUGCGUAGGCGGCGCGGUAAGUCGGGUGUGAAAUCUCGGAGCUUAACUCCGAAACUGCACUCGAUACUGCCGUGCUUGAGGACUGGAGAGGAGACUGGAAUUUACGGUGUAGCGGUGAAAUGCGUAGAUAUCGUAAGGAAGACCAGUGGCGAAGGCGGGUCUCUGGACAGUUCCUGACGCUGAGGCACGAAGGUCAGGGGAGCAAACGGG